rnacentral:lncRNA from 1 species
UUCCAUUGAACACAGAGCUCAUCUCUUUGGUAUUUAGUAAGCUACUGCUACCUGCCUGGUCUGCUGUGUUUCCCAGUGGCCUUAGGUGACCCUUGUGAAAGGGUCAGCCCCCAGGGGGUCAUGUCCCACAAGCCUUUUUGCUAGGAAUCGAUGAGAAGAAAAGAUUGGCAGAGCUCAGUGGAUUUCUCCUCUGAUAUCUGGCUGUUUGCAUCUUUAUUAUCCACUGGAAUCCUCUGCAUCUUGGGCUGCUUUAAAGAUGUCACUGGUAUCUAAAGAAGAGGCCAAGGAAGCUGCUGAACGCCCUGCGGUGCACAGGGCAGCCCCACCACAAGGUUGCUCAACUUAAUGCCAGCUGCUUCAAGGUUGAGAAAUUCAGCUUCGUUCUUCACCCAGAACUCAUCUGAGCUGUGACUCUCCUUACGUCAUAGAUGAUAAUUCCAGAAGCACGUAUAUGUUGAUAUUUCACAUUUAAAAAUGCAAACAUGAACCAGUAAGAGACAUUUCCCAUCUCUGUGUAGCAUCUCUGUACAUCAUCAGUGAGUCAUGGGUUAUAAGAGGCAUGCCUUUGGCUGUUAGGAUCCCUUCUGCUCAAUUCAUUUCCUGUCCACCAUGAGAUAAGUAGCUCCUGUCACAUGCUCUGCCUGCUGUGACACUCUGCUGUACUGUUUACCCAGAAUCAAUGAAGCAGGACUACAGACCGAUUUCUCUGAUGCUGUGAGCCAAAAUAAACCAU